CGAUACGCGGAACCAAGAUCGAUAUAAGAUAUUGGACGCAAAAGCUAGCAUUAGAAAAUGUAGCUAAAGCUGCUAAGAAGCUAAAGUCGUUAACUCUUAUUAGCCAUAGAUAGCUUCCCUUGUUCUCAGUUACUCAUCAAAUGGCAUUCAGUUCAUAUCUUUAAGUUCGAUCAUUGACAAGGUUCAAAGAAAGGGUGGGCCACCUAUCGUUGUGAAAUAAGAGCACUCGAUCGAAGACAAUGUCAAUUGGCCAAGCCAUAAGCAAGGAAC
rnacentral:lncRNA from 1 species